rnacentral:rRNA from 1 species
GUUGACCUCGGAUCAGGUAGGACUACCCGCUGAACUUAAGCAUAUCAAUAAGCGGAGGAAAAGAAACCAACAGGGAUUGCCCCAGUAACGGCGAGUGAAGCGGCAACAGCUCAGAUUUGGAAUCUGGCCCCCAGGGCCCGAGUUGUAAUCUGGAGAGGAUGCUUCUGGCGCGGCGCCUUCCGAGUUCCCUGGAACGGGACGCCGGAGAGGGUGAGAGCCCCGUACGGUUGGACGCCUAGCCUUUGUGAAGCUCCUUCGACGAGUCGAGUAGUUUGGGAAUGCUGCUCAAAAUGGGAGGUAAAUUUCUUCUAAAGCUAAAUACCGGCCAGAGACCGAUAGCGCACAAGUAGAGUGAUCGAAAGAUGAAAAGCACUUUGAAAAGAGGG